CCUACGGGAGGCAGCAGUGAGGAAUAUUGGUCAAUGGACGCAAGUCUGAACCAGCCAUGCCGCGUGCAGGAAGACGGCUCUAUGAGUUGUAAACUGCUUUUGUACGAGGGUAAACGCAGAUACGCGUAUCUGUCUGAAAGUAUCGUACGAAUAAGGAUCGGCUAACUCCGUGCCAGCAGCCGCGGUAAUACGGAGGAUUCAAGCGUUAUCCGGAUUUAUUGGGUUUAAAGGGUGCGUAGGCGGUCGGAUAAGUUAGAGGUGAAAGCCCGAGGCUAAACUUCGGAAUUGCCUCUGAUACUGUUCGGCUAGAGAGUAGUGGCGGUAGGCGGAAUGUAUGGUGUAGCGGUGAAAUGCUUAGAGAUCAUACAGAACACCGAUUGCGAAGGCAGCUUACCAAGCUACUUCUGACGUUGAGGCACGAAAGCGUGGGGAGCAAACAGGAUUAGAUACCCUAGUAGUC
rnacentral:rRNA from 1 species